rnacentral:hammerhead_ribozyme from 1 species
GUGCUGAUGAAGAGUCUCAAACAGGACGAGACGGUUUUCCAGUAC